GAUCCUGGCUCAGAACGAACGCUGGCGGCGCGUUUAAGCAUGCAAGUCGAGCGGCAAGGGCCUUCGGGCCCCUAGAGCGGCGGACGGGUGAGUAACACGUGGACAAUCUGCCCCCCGGCCCGGGAUAGCCCAGGGAAACCUGGAUUAAUACCGGAUGAGACGGGACCCGCGAUGGCGGGACCCGGGAAAGGCGCUGCGGCACCGCCGGGGGAUGAGUCUGCGUCCCAUUAGCUAGACGGCGGGGUAACGGCCCACCGUGGCGACGAUGGGUAGCCGGCCUGAGAGGGUGGACGGCCACAUUGGAACUGAGACACGGUCCAGACUCCUACGGGAGGCAGCAGCUAAGAAUCUUCCGCAAUGGGCGAAAGCCUGACGGAGCGACGCCCGCGUGAACGAAGAAGGCCGUGAGGUUGUAAAGUUCUUUUCGGGAGGGGGAACAACCGUGGCAGGGAAUGGCCGCGGGAUGACGUGAAUCCCGGAAUAAGCCCCGGCUAACUACGUGCCAGCCGCAGC
rnacentral:rRNA from 1 species